GACGAACGCUGGCGGCGUGCCUAACACAUGCAAGUCGAACGGAAAGGCCCUGCUUUUGUGGGGUGCUCGAGUGGCGAACGGGUGAGUAACACGUGAGUAACCUGCCCUUGACUUUGGGAUAUCUUCAGGACACUGGGGCUCUUACCGGAUAGGAGCUCCUGCCGCUUGGUGGGGGUUGGUAAGUUUCGGUGGUUGGGGAUGGACUAGCGGCUUAUCAGCUUGUUGGUGGGGUAGUGGCUUACCAAGGCUAUGACGGGUAGCCGGCCUGAGAGGGGGACCGGCCACAUUAGGACUGAGAUACGGCCCAGACUCGUACGGUAGGCAGCAGUGGGGAAUAUUGCACAGUGGGCGGGAGCCUGAUGCAGCAACGCCGCGUGCGGGAUGACGGCCUUCGGGUUGUGAACCACUGUCGCCUGUGACGAAGCGUGAGUGACGGUAAUGGGUAAAGAAGCACCGGCUAACUACGUG
rnacentral:rRNA from 1 species